rnacentral:tRNA from 1 species
GCCUGGGUGGCUCAGUUGGUUAAGCGUCCGACUUCAGCUCAGGUCGUGAUCUCACAGUUGGUGGGCUCGAGCCCCACAUCAGGCU